AUUGAACGCUGGCGGCAGGCCUAACACAUGCAAGUCGAGCGGAGCGGCGGACGCGGGAGGAAUGGCUAGGAAUCUGCCUCGGAGUGGUGGAUAACGUCCGCAACCGGGCGCUGAUACCACAUACUUUCAGUUGCGCCUAGGCCGGAUUAGCUAGUUGGUGGGGUAAAGGCCUAACCACGCGACGAUCCGUAACUGGUCUGAGAGGAUGAGCAGUCACACUGGAACUGAGACACGGUCCAGACUCCUACGGGAGGCAGCAGUGGGGAAUAUUGGACAAUGGGCGAAAGCCUGAUACAGCCAUGCCGCGUGUGUGAAGAAGGCCUUCGGAUUGUAAAGCACUUUAAGCUGGGAGGCGUUACCAACAGAAUAAGCACCGGCUAACUUCGUGCCAGCAGCCGCGGUAAUUC
rnacentral:rRNA from 1 species